AUGGCUCGAACGCUCAUCCCCAGCCAGCAGAAGCGGCCCCCCGCCUACCGCAGCGGCAGCCUGAAGGGAGCCGUCAUUCUCACCAUCCUCCUGGGCGUCUUCUUCAUCUGCUGGGGGCCCUUCUUCUUCCACCUCAUCCUCAUUGUCACCUGCCCCACCGACCCCUUCUGCACCUGCUUCUUCAACCACUUCAACCUCUUCCUCAUCCUCAUCAUCUGCAACUCGCUGGUUGACCCCCUCAUCUACGCUUUCCGGAGCCGGGAGCUGCGGCGGACGCUGCGGGAGGUGGCCGAGACCUGCGACUGCCUGCAGGGCUUCCAGCUGACCCACUCGCUGGGCGGCGGCACCGGCUCCGGCAUGGGCACCCUCCUCAUCAGCAAGGUGCGGGAGGAGUAUCCCGACCGCAUCAUGAACACUUUCAGCGUGGUGCCGUCCCCCAAGGUGUCGGACACGGUGGUGGAGCCCUACAACGCCACCCUCUUUUUUUUUUGAGAACACGGACGAGACCUACUGCAUCGAUAACGAAGCGCUCUACGACAUCUGCUUCCGCACCCUCAAGCUGGCCACCCCAACCUACGGCGACCUCAACCACCUCGUCUCGGCCACCAUGAGCGGCGUCCCCCCCUGCCUGCGUUUCCCCGGUCAACUCAACGCCGACCUCCGCAAGUUGGCCGUCAACAUGGUGCCCUUCCCACGUCUCCACUUCUUCAUGCCGGGCUUUGCCCCGCUGACGGCCCGCGGCAGCCAGCAGUACCGUGCCCUCACCGUCCCCGAGCUCACCCAGCAGAUGUUUGACGCCAAGAACAUGAUGGCCGCCUGCGACCCCCGCCAUGGCCGCUACCUCACCGUGGCCACCGUCUUCCGGGGCCGCAUGUCCAUGAAGGAGGUGGACGAGCAGAUGUUGGCCAUCCAGAGCAAGAACAGCUCCUACUUCGUGGAGUGGAUCCCCAACAACGUCAAGGUGGCCGUCUGCGACAUCCCUCCCCGGGGGCUGAAGAUGUCCUCCACCUUCAUCGGCAACAGCACG